GUAUUGUAUUCCAAAAACCCAACAAACAUCAAAUAGUGUUGAUAAAAAGUCAUAGACAAGGAUUGCUCCUCGCCUACAAAAUAGUGCACAGGUGAAUGAAGUUGAUUCGGAGUGCACUUUGAUAAGGCACAUCCUUUGAGAAUCGAUAAUGAUCCUUCCGCAGGUUCACCUACGGAAA
rnacentral:misc_RNA from 1 species